rnacentral:rRNA from 1 species
UAAGGAAUAUUGGUCAAUGGAGGCAACUCUGAACCAGCCAUGCCGCGUGCAGGAAGAAGGCCCUAUGGGUCGUAAACUGCUUUUGAACAAGAGAAAACCCCGGUACGUGUACUGGGUUGAUAGUAUUGUUAGAAUAAGCAUCGGCUAACUUCGUGCCAGCAGCCGCGGUAAGACGAAGGAUGCAAGCGUUAUCCGGAUUCAUUGGGUUUAAAGGGUGCGUAGGCGGACUGAUAAGUCAGUGGUGAAAUCUCUCGGCUUAACCGAGAAACUGCCAUUGAUACUGUUAGUCUAGAGUACAGAUGAUGUGGGCGGAAUAUGACAUGUAGUGGUGAAAUACUUAGAUAUGUCAUAGAACACCGAUUGCGAAGGCAGCUCACAAAACUGUAACUGACGCUGAGGCACGAAAGUGCGGGGAUCAAACAGGAUUAGAUACCCAUAUAGUCCCUGAGCGGGCUGGCAAGGCGCAU